CUUGCCUGUAAUCAGCAUUUUGAGAGGCUGAGGCAGGAGGAUCAUUUGAGCCCAAGAGUUUGAGACCAGCCUGGGCAACAUAGCGAGACCUCAUCUAUACAAAAAAUGAAAAAAAAAAUAGCCGGGAAUGGUGGCGUGCGCCUAUAGUCCUAGCUGCUUAGGAGGCUGAGAUGGGAGGAUUGCUUGAGCCCAGGAGUUGGUGGCUGCAGUGAG
rnacentral:lncRNA from 10 species